UAGAUAAAAUCUCUCUCUCUCUCUCUCUCCUCUCUCUCUCUCUCUCUCUCUCUCUCUCUCUCUCACACACACACACACACACACACACACACACAGAGAGAGAGAGAGAGAGAGAGAGAGAGAGAGAGAGAGAGAGAAGUAUUCUG
rnacentral:miRNA from 1 species